GUGUGUGUGUUUGUGUGUGUGUGUGUGUGUGUGUGUGUGUGUGUGUGUGUGCGUGUGUGUGUGUGUGUGUGUGUGUGUGUUUGAGAGAGAAAGAGGGGGUCUUCAUCUAUUUGGGUGCAUGAGUUAAGGUCUGUGAGCAUGUCAAAAAAGUGUGUUUAUGGGAAAUAUAGAUCUCUCUCUCUCUCUCUCUCUCUUGUCUCGCUCUCUCUCGCUCUCUCUGUGCCUGUGUGUGUGUGCGUGUGUUUACACAGACGGGAAUACUACGCCAGAGGAAGUGCGCCGGUUCUCCGUCUGCGCGUCCCGACUUCCUGCUCUGAGGCAGUGUAGAGAAAAGCUGCAGAUCCGCUUUCAGACAGCAGCGGCAUGGAGCCCCGACACAACACACACACACCGCUCUAAGACGCAAACACACUCCUAACACACGGCUAGAUUUGGAGGAGCAGCGGCCGUCCACAGCAGGAUCGCCUGUGUCUCUGGUGUCAUCCCGUCAUGGAGAGUUCCAUCACACUCUGGCAGUUCCUGCUGCAGCUGCUGAUCGACCAAAGCCACAAACAUCUCAUCUGCUGGACGUCCAACGACGGCGAGUUCAAGCUGCUAAAGUCAGAGGAUGUGGCCAAGCUGUGGGGGCUGCGCAAGAACAAGACCAACAUGAACUACGACAAGCUGAGCAGAGCCCUGCGCUACUACUACGACAAAAACAUCAUCAAGAAGGUGAUCGGCCAGAAGUUCGUCUACAAGUUUGUGUCGUUCCCUGAGAUUCUGAAGAUGGACCCUGCGGUGGUGGAGUCGGGCCGCAGCAGUGAGGAAAGUGGGGGCGCUGCUUCAGAGCCCGAGGCCGACGACGAGGACGGGGCCGGGAGAAACCAAUACCUCCACUCCAGCCUGUACUCCUCUUUCACCGUCAGCUCCCUGCAGCACCCCGUGGAACCGCAUCGGCCGAUCAAGGCGGAGCCCCGAUCCGAUCACUACGGCGACAGCUCCUCCGUCAUCCGAUUUGUGACCAACCGUGGCCACUCCUCCCUGCCGCCCACCCCACCCCCAUCCUCGGCCGAGGCCUCCCAUUCCUCCAGACCGUCUCCGGGGCAGGCCCGCUCUUCUUCCUGCUCCUCCACUCCGCCGCCAAGCACUGCCCACGCCCUUUGGAGAGGACGGGGCCAGAGCGCAGAGACUAACGAGUUAGAGCAGAGCGCCCAGCCUCUGAACCUCUCAUCUGGUCAGAGGGAGAGAGAGAGGUCACAGGCGAUGCCAGAGGGCAGGAGAUUUGCCAAUUGCGGGCUUUUGAAAAGCAGGAAACCCAAAGGUUUGGAAAUCUCCGCCUCCUCGCUCCUCCUGACAGGAAGCGACCUUGUCUCCAUUGCUCUCAACAGCCCGGCGCUGCCUUCGGGCUCCCUGACCCCUGCCUUCCUCACCACACAGACUCCGUCUGGUCUGCUGCUCACUCCCAGUCCUCUCCUCUCCAAUAUCCAUUUCUGGUCCAGCCUGAGUCCAGUGGGACCCCUCAGCCCUGCACAACUGCAGAGCCAUGCCCCCCUCUUUCAGGGUUUCAAAAUAAGCCACAGAUGUUUCCGUUCUGGCUUGGACAAGAAGAGGGGGCAACUUCCUGUUAGUUGAGGGGAGCGGGAGAGGGCUGGUUGGUCAGGAGCCCCUCCCAGCCUACGACUCCAACUGUGAACAAACUGUUAGCAUCUAAUGAGCGGUGAUUUAGUCCUUGCAACGGGGGAUGGUCCUCACAACGCUGGCGGACUACUUAAGUCCCCACGAGGUAAUAUAAUUCCCCACUCUGCUGAAUGGACACCUGCCUUUACACAGCAUGGAUGCUGCCUCUCAUCUGCUGCUCUCCUCCAGCUCCCACAAGUGCUGAUGCCAGCCCGGGCUCCCAGAGCAAACUGGGCCAAACCGAGCCAGGCCGGGCCAGGUCGGCGCAGAGCAGAUCAGCCUUAGACUCUGACGAUGAACCACACAGGAGUCGGACUUCCAUUCAGGCUUUGAUGUGAAACCUGUUCCUUUGCAUUUCUCAUAUGAAGAAACAGGAGCUUCACUGAAGCUUUGCUCUCUGAGAGGAGUAACCGACCGCAUUAGACAUUUCUUUGUGUUUACUACAGUUCAACUCCUCAUGUUCCUCACGCAGGUGAUUGGUGCUUCUUUUCAGGCAAAAAGAAAUUGACUGGAGGUCAGUCCUCGUUACGUUUCUCAUCUCAUUUUCUAUCUCAUGUCAUUUCACUCGUUUUAAACUCCAGUGUUACAGACUGUUUGCAAUGUCAUGAAUGUUAUCCCUAUUCCCUAUCCCCCCCCUCCACCUCGUCCGACGGAUGUGUCACACCACUGACUCAAACAAUGAUCUGGGUAAAUCUGUGUCAGGAAUUAUGGGACAACAAUAUAGACUAGAAAGACAUAUUGGCUUCCCUGCCGAGAAGAUUGAUACCACUCGUGUUUGUAAGCUUGAUAUGAAGCUACAGCCAGACAACAGUUAGCUUAGCUUAGCAUAAAGACCGCUGACGUGAAAAAAACGUUUGCCUUCGAAAGGUGACAAAAUCUGACUAGCGGCUAAAAGCUUACUAGUUAACACAUUAAACAUACAAAAAUGAUAAAACAUAAUAUAUACAAACUUUUCCACAAAACCCCAAUGAGUCGUUUUUUUGUAAUCUGUAUUAUGUCCAAAUUAAACACACAACUAUAUGAUCUUUAACAGCAGGCUUUACAGGUAUAGGCUGCCUUUGUGAACUUUGAGCAGAGCCAGUCUGUCUGUUUAAAGUAUGGAUGCUAAGCUACAUAUUUAGCUGACAAGCUGUCAUCAAUCUUCUCAUUUUACUUUCGACAAGAAUGCGUAUUUACCCAAAAUGCGGAGGCUUCCUUUAAAUUGAACAAAUCUUAGAAUGUGACCAGUUUGGGAUGUUGCAACAGUCAACCAAUAGCUUUGUCUCAUGUAUCAACCUUUUGGGGAUGCGAGUACAAGAAGUGACACAGCGCAUUAGGAUCAUUUUCACAUUUUCAUUAACAACUUGAUAAAGAUUUGUCCAGAUGUUGAUUGUUGGAGUGUGGCCACGAGAUGAAUCCCUCACCGACUCCUAGCAGAGCACCUGCUAGCCAGCACGCUGCAACGCUGUAGAAGUCCCUUCAUUGCUUUGACUUGACGCUGUGAACUUGUUUUUUAUCUGUAGUGUCACGCGUUUCUUUUCUUUUUAAAUGCACUGUACUUUUUAGCCUUGUACCAGCUGUGCCUUCAAUAUUGUAAGACUUGUGUAAAUGUAUUAAGCUUUAAAACCAGGUUUUAAUAGAUAUUCCAGGUCAAAAUUGCACAAAAGCUUUUAUUUUGUAAAAAUGUCUCCUGGUUAUUUUUCUAAAAAAAAAAUUAAUGGAAAUGUAUUCUCAGUGAUUUUGCUUGUGUUUUGUGGAGAGAAAUGCUACUGUUUUUUUUUUUUGGAAUAAAAUUAAUUCAUUUUCAGAAUUACUAUAUGAAUUGUAGUUGGAAGCAACACACUCUUUCACCACUCGAAGAACGACUGCUGCACAGGCUGUUUAUGAAACAGAUUAAAUUUACUUUCAAUGGUUAUGAGAAAUAAAUAGUUCCAGUAAAAAGAGUCACACACCAACUGUUCACCGGCGGCUCUGUGUUUCAUUGAGGUCGAAUUCACAACACAGCAGGCCUUCCAUGCAUCAGGCACACGCUCGUUCACAUAAAUUCAGGUCAUUCA